UGUUAGAAUUUAAUCCAUUUCUACUGUUAACAAUUGGCAUUGUUGAUAAAAUAACCAGAUAGUUACACGUGAUAUGCCAUGUGUACCUCAUUCUAACGUACACAAACCGAAUUUUAACAGUAGAGAUGGAUGAAAUUUUUAACA
rfam:Gossypium hirsutum cultivar TM-1 chromosome 2, whole genome shotgun sequence